UUGGUGGUGUUAUGGGAAAUUCAUUGAAGUGAUCAAUGCUUACCAUAUCCGCUUGAUAGAAAAAAAAAGUAGAGAGAAAUUGAGGGUUGGAUGAGAAGUCUUAAAGAAAGAAAAUGCUUUGAAAAAGAAAGAAAGAAAAUGAAGAAAUGAGACUUGAAUCCUCCAAAAGUUGAAAAUGGUUGUAUGUGGGGCAACUAGAGUGGAAAUAAGAAAAAGAAUAAUGAAAAAUAGUGUGGAAUGUGCAUGGGUUUGAAAAGUGGAGAAAGUUGGAAAAUAUGAGUUGUUGUGUAGUGUUCAAGGAGGGUGUAGUCACCUAUACCUAAAUGAUAUCCUAACCUUUCCUAAGCCUAUAUUACAAGCUUAACAAAGUCCUUUGAGAUUUCUAACCAAAUGGAGUUGAGUCAAAAAUGAUUGAAAAUAUGGGCAAGCCUAUUGUGUGACAUUUGUGUACAUGAGAUGAUUCUUUGUGAGUGUGAGUGUUGCAUCUUUGUUGUCCCAUGUCUUGUUUAUAUGUGUGUGCGGUUUUGGGACGCUUCUUUCAUGUGAGGGCAUGUAAGCUGAAAAAGUGGUGAUUUUGAAAAUUCCUAAUUGAGUCAAGUGAGCAUGUGAAAGUGUUAAUGAGUUGAGUCAUCUCUUGAGUUUGAGUUGUUGUCACUUAAAUGAUUCUUGGUUUUUAAAAAUGUAAUGAGAAUGAGAGGAUUUCUUAUGUGAAAAAAGUUUGCAUGUGGACUAUUUGUUAGUACCAACCGGAGCCAUUACCUUUGUGCUUAAUUGAGAAAUGGAAAUUGAUUUGUGGUGUGUCUUGAAAUAUGAGCCUCUUGUGUUCGAACGUUACUAAGAGUUUGGUAUUUUUUUUUUUUUUUUUGAACUUGGUAACUUUGUAUUAUAUCACAAAACAGUACAUGGGUCGUACUGUAACCUUAUAUACAAGAGUACUCCUGAUUUCACUUCUCUACGUCUAAAUUGAGUCUAACACAUCAAUAAUAGAGACAGUGUCAUUAGAGUAUAACUGAUUACACCAAAUGACUAAAAGUAAAAUGCAGUUUAGUUUAACUUUCUGCACAUUGUUCUCUAUGCUCUCAAAACAUCUUGAAUUCCUUUGACCGCUUACUCUGUUAACUUGUUUUGAGGGUGAUUUGAGCGUCAUCAAUUGUUUAAGCUUUUUGUAAAAAGUUUUAAACAUGUGUGUUGUAUAUUACUUCCUAGUGAUGCAAAUAUCCAGCUUCUUUUCACUGUUGUGGAGAAUACACCAUCUGAAACAGUUUGAUCAAAUUGCACUGUUGGUAUUGGAGAUCUGGCAGUUCGUUUUUCUAAUCUGUUAGAGCCAUGGACAGAGCAUAUGUAUGCAUGAUUAAGAGAUCGUUCAUUCUCAUCUAAUACUUACUGAAUGACAUGAAGGUGGAAGUUUAUAUAAAUGAAAUGGCCAACUGUUUGGAAGAUGAAGAUGAAAGAAUUUCAAAUCUUGCCAAACUUUCUUUCAUGAGUUGUCAAAGAAAAGUGAUGCAAAUCUCCAGCUUCUUUUCACUGUUGUGGAGAAUGCACCAUCUGAAACAGUUUGAUCAAAUUGCACUGUUGGUCUUGGAGAUCUGGCAGUUCGUUUUCCUAAUCUGUUAGAGCCAUGGACAGAGCAUAUGUAUGCAUGAUUAAGAGAUCGUUCAUUCUCAUCUAAUACUGAAUGACAUGAAGGUGGAAGUUUAUAUAAAUGAAAUGGCCAACUGUUUGGAAGAUGAAGAUGAAAGAAUUUCAAAUCUUGCCAAACUUUCUUUCAUGAGUUGUCAAAGAAAAGUGUAAACAGGAUGAAUCGGAUAACUUACUGCCUUACUACUCUUUUACAUUGUGCCUGCUGGUUGAAUAUCUCUUGUUCUAAUUUCAGGAGAAUGCACAAAAAAUUGCUUAAUAUUUAUCUUUUCCAAUCGACGGGUGAAGAAUUGCAAUUAUGCAGGUCUUCCUCCAGGAAGGUCUUUGCACUUCUCUCAACACUUCUCUCAGGUUAUGGAUGCAGGAUUAGUGCUGAGUUUUCUAACAGGUUCUUUGGCACUCUUUAAGCAUGUUGUUGAGGCUACGAAGUACUUAGCAUUAUAGUCAGUUUUGUGAUGCAAAUCUCCAGCUUCUUUUCACUGUUGUGGAGAAUACACCAUCUGAAACAGUUUGAUCAAAUUGCACUGUUGGUCUUGGAGAUCUGGCAGUUCGUUUUUCUAAUCUGUUAGAGCCAUGGACAGAGCAUAUGUAUGCAUGAUUAAGAGAUCGUUCAUUCUCAUCUAAUACUUACUGAAUGACAUGAAGGUUUGGCUGGACUAUCAAACAUUUAUACUUAGCUUUCAUGUGUAAGAAUUUUUAUCAUCUUGAUUUGCGUGUAUCAUUAUUAGGUGGAAGUUUGUGUAAAUGAAAUGGCCAACUGUUUGGAAGAUGAAGAUGAAAGAAUUUCAAAUCUUGCCAAAACUUUCUUUCAUGAGUUGUCAAAGAUAAGGCAAUGAGUGCAAGAUCGAUGCUGAGUUUUCUGACCGGUUCUUUAGCACUCUUUAAGCAUGUUCCUAAGGCUACCAAGUACUUCAACAUUAUAUGAUGCAAAUCUCCAGCCUCUUCACUGUUUUGGAGAAUGCACCAUCUGAAACAGUUCGAUCAAAUUGCACUGUUACUCUUGGAGAUCUGGAACUCGUUUUCCUAAUCUGUUAGAGCCAUGGACAGAGCAUACGUAUGCAUGAUUAAGAGAUCGUUCAUUCUCAUCUAAUACUGAAGACAUGAUGAAGGUGGAAAUUUAUAUAAAUGGAAUGGCCAACUGUUUGGAAGAUGAAGAUGAAAGAAUUUCAAAUCUUGCCAAACUUUCUUUCAUGAGUCGUCAAAGAAAGGAAUGUUCCUCACAUUCAUAUACAUGAAAACGGGAAAACAAAGACCGGUGGCAUGGUGCUGAAAUCCAGAUUGUCAUUGAAAGGAACUGGACAACGUACCGAUCCAAAGUCAAUGCAUUAUAUGUGACAAAUGGCUGUCAUCAAGCCCAAUGCCCAAUUCCUUUUCCAAUUCAUAUCAGAUUCUCCCGAUGAAGAGAUUGGCAGAAGUAAAUUUAAUCCCAUGAUUGGUCUGGGUGACCAUGAACGUAGAGAUGAAGCCCUAUAUGAUGAUUUUGAGACAGCAAAGGCUCGUGAGAAAAGACUAGCCAAGGAAGCUCGGGUUCUAGAGAUUCAAGCAAAGAAUGUUGCUCUUGGGAAGAAAGUUUUUCCCUGCAGCUACAAAGGCAGCUAAGGGUAGGGAGGCAUUAUAUUAUAGGGUGACAAGCAAGGAUAAUGGAAGAGGAAUGUCACAUGAUGAUAUCCCGAAUAUGUUUGUAGAGGUUUGAUGUGCUUGCCAUU